rnacentral:rRNA from 1 species
CCUACGGGAGACAGCAGUCGAGAAUCAUUCACAAUGGGGGAAACCCUGAUCGUGCGACGCCGCGUGGGGGAAUGCAGCUCUUCGGAUUGUAAACCCCUGUCAUGUGGGAGCAAAUUAAAAAGAUAGUACCACAAGAGGAAGAGACGGCUAACUCGGUGCCAGCAGCCGCGGUCAUACAGAGGUCUCAAGCGUUGUUCGGAAUCACUGGGCGUAUAGGGGGCGUAGGCUGUUUCGUAAGUCGUGUGUGAAAGGCGCGGGCUCAACCCGCGGACGGCACAUGAUACUGCGAGGCUAGAGUGAGGGAGGGGUAAGCGGAAUGCGUGGUGUAGCAGUGAAAUGCGUAGAUAUCAAGAGGAACACUGGUGGCGAAGGCGGGUUCCUGGACAUUAACUGACGCUGAGGCACGAAAGCGAGGGGAGCGAAAAGGAUUAGAUACCCGGGUAGUC